GAUGAACGCUGGCGGCGUGCCUAAUACAUGCAAGUCGAGCGAACAGAUAAGGAGCUUGCUCCUUUGACGUUAGCGGCGGACGGGUGAGUAACACGUGGGUAACCUACCUAUAAGACUGGGAUAACUUCGGGAAACCGGAGCUAAUACCGGAUAAUAUUUCGAACCGCAUGGUUCGAUAGUGAAAGAUGGUUUUGCUAUCACUUAUAGAUGGACCCGCGCCGUAUUAGCUAGUUGGUAAGGUAACGGCUUACCAAGGCGACGAUACGUAGCCGACCUGAGAGGGUGAUCGGCCACACUGGAACUGAGACACGGUCCAGACUCCUACGGGAGGCAGCAGUAGGGAAUCUGCCGCAAUGGGCGAAAGCCUGACGGAGCAACGCCGCGUGAGUGAUGAAGGUCUUCGGAUCGUAAAACUCUGUUAUUAGGGAAGAACAUACGUGUAAGUAACUGUGCACGUCUUGACGGUACCUAAUCAGAAAGCCACGGCUAACUACGU
rnacentral:rRNA from 1 species